rnacentral:rRNA from 1 species
GAGUUUGAUCCUGGCUCAGGAUGAACGCUGGCGGCGUGCCUAACACAUGCAAGUCGAACGGAGUUACGAUGAAACCUAGUGAUUCGUAACUUAGUGGCGGACGGGUGAGUAACGCGUGGAUAACCUGCCUUGCACUGGGGGAUAACACUUAGAAAUAGGUGCUAAUACCGCAUAAGCGCACAGAGCCGCAUGGCUCAGUGUGAAAAACUCCGGUGGUGUAAGAUGGAUCCGCGUCUGAUUAGCUGGUUGGCGGGGUAGAAGCCCACCAAGGCGACGAUCAGUAGCCGGCCUGAGAGGGUGAACGGCCACAUUGGGACUGAGACACGGCCCAAACUCCUACGGGAGGCAGCAGUGGGGAAUAUUGCACAAUGGGGGAAACCCUGAUGCAGCAACGCCGCGUGAGUGAAGAAGUCAUUCGUGAUGUAAAGCUCUAUCAGCAGGGAAGAAAAUGACGGUACCUGAGUAAGAAGCCCCGGCUAACUACGUGCCAGCAGCCGCGGUAAUACGUAGGGGGCAAGCGUUAUCCGGAUUUACUGGGUGUAAAGGGAGCGUAGACGGCCAGACAAGUCUGAAGUGAAAAUCCAGCGCUUAACGUUGGAAGUGCUUUGGAAACUGCCGGGCUAGAGUGCAGGAGGGGCAGGCGGAAUUCCUAGUGUAGCGGUGAAAUGCGUAGAUAUUAGGAGGAACACCAGUGGCGAAGGCGGCCUGCUGGACUGCAACUGACGUUGAGGCUCGAAGGCGUGGGGAGCAAACAGGAUUAGAUACCCUGGUAGUCCACGCGGUAAACGAUGAUUACUAGGUGUCGGGGGGCUAGAGCCCUUCGGUGCCGUCGCAAACGCAAUAAGUAAUCCACCUGGGGAGUACGUUCGCAAGAAUGAAACUCAAAGGAAUUGACGG